GAGAUCGAAAAACAGCAUGGUCUGCCGUUUGCGCAAGAUUUCCACAUCAAAGGACUUGGCAUAGAGCAAAAGAUUCUUCUCGCGGUCAAAGAGUUCAAAGAGCUCGGGAAAAUUUGGAAAGCAUGUCUCCUCGUAAAAGUUGGACUUCAGGUUAAGGGCCGUCAGUCCGGACUUCUUAUCGGCAUGGGCCACCUGCAGUCGAUGUGGACGCCCAUUGAAGUAGUAAUCCUUGAGGUGCUGCACUCGAAGUACUUUACUCGGAUUCCGAUGGUUCAGAUUGGGGCCAGAUGUCGUCGUCGGUGGGCGCAACGUUGUGGUCUUCCUUGUUGUGUUCUCCGACUCUUGAAGGAUGGGAUUGAUUUUCAUCGGCUGAUAGUCCAAGCCGAUGCCGGGUAUGUGUCGGAAGGGCAGUGGGGGUACGGGUAUGUAAUAUAUUUUCGAGUCCUUUUUCGUUUUUUUCGUCUUACUGCCGUUCUGGUUGUACUUGCGCAGAUUCAGCGGCUUCGAUGUGACCACGUAGUCCAUGUACAAGUUGUCCAGCGAGGGCGACUGCACCACAAUCCGGUUGGCCAAUCUCGUGGGAGGCGCUUCUGCCCGUGGACCAUAGGAAUAGGGUCGAGCUGCCACCAAAUUGGCCAAGAUGAUUAGAGAUGCCAGUGGAAGCAGCGGAGACAUUCUGGAAAUAGACACAAAGUCUGCCAACGGCGCUGCCGCCGCCUCUGCCGACUUCGCUGCCUUUCUGUCGUCAUCAGCGGCAACUGGAUUUAUUAUUGUGUGAGGUCCCAGUCGAUGAAGACCGGAGAAUUAACUGGUUCCCCGUAUGGCAGAUGAUCUUCGGAUGUUGAGCGGCCAUAAGUUAGCCAGUUUAUUGUUUGUCCACUUACUGUUACACUUGCAAAUUGCACUUGGCGGGAUUUGCCUGCACCGCAUGUGCCAUUUGCUUAACAAAUUCAUCAGUCUUGCAUUUCUCGGCUCUCCGACCAAAAGUGAGCAGGAAAUCCAACACCACUUGACCAGUCGGUGGGCUCUCGAUUGGAUUACACCUCGGCGGGCAGCUUCUUUAAGCCUCUGGAAAGAUAGAAAGACAGGGGACUUGUCCUUAACCCGUGAUUAAAAAAAUUAUAUUUUAAAGUAGCAUUUUAGAAACGUAUUAGUAUUUUAAUUUUCUAAAUAUGAAUUUUUUUUGUUGGUAAUAUUAUUAUUAAUCUUCAACUAAUUGGAACAAAUUUCCGAUAUACAACUGUAUAUAUUUGCAUACAUUUGAAUCUUUUCUCCGUUUGUUUUGAUAACACGGAUUGAAUAAUGUUUACAAAUCAAUUUGGGAAUUUUCGUCUUUUUCUUACUAUUCUUAAUUUUUGCACAUUUUUUUAAGAUUGUUUUUAAAGAUACCUCAUUAUGCUUUUAACUCCCAACUCUUUUGAAACAUGAUAAACGUAGCCUAUUGUUUGAAGAAAGACACCUGAUUAAAUGGCUAAACAAAAAAGUAUUAUGAUAAUACUGAUAUCUCUUGUAAGAAAGAGAAGGGUUAAGAGCUUGUGCCCGACUUCAGUUCGGGAUUUGAAUCGGGGUCUAGUUCGCCCGGCAGCUCCUUUGUCUUUACGAUACUGUGCACAAAUUAGUUACAAAUGAACCUACGACAACAAAAGCUGCUGGGGGUAACACGAAGCCUUCGUUGAGGUAGGGUUUUAGGUCUCGGUCCGGUCUGGUUUUCUCUUUUUUGCAACUGGCUUAAGGUGUGCUUUUUCGGUUUGGCUUAUUGACAGGCCACCGGGCAGCUCCAGCUCCAACUCCAACUCCCUGAGAACUCUGAGAUGCGUGUGGCGCUCCAAGGGAUCUGUGCGUUUUGGCCCUCAUCAUAAUGUAAUUGGAGUGGCAAAUGGUGUUCGUGGCAUUUUUCUAAACACUUUUGCGUGAGCUGCUGACGUUGAUUGCUGGUUGUUGGUUGAUUAAAAGAGGAUUCCCUCGACCUUGCAGCUGCCAUGUGUGAAAGCCGUGACCCAUUAAGCUAGAAUUAUCCUUGCUAAAUCAUCGAAAAAUCUCCUAACCCAUGGCGAAUAUUGGGCAAACAUGCUUUAAUUAAAUGACUUCCUUUUGAGGCACAGUUUUAUGAGCCGUUAAUUAAACAAGUAAAAGCAACUGACACGCUGAGGGAUUACGUAAAAGCAUUUCCAACUUUCCCAGGGCCCAGACAUCUUUCACCAGCGCGGAUCUUGAACCACAAAGACAAUCUAAAAUUUUGGGCUAUAAAAUAAAACAAAUGACAUAACCGCAAAUACACCAAGAGUACAACUUCCCAGCUUCUGUCUGGUUGUUGAGGCACUUUAAAUAUUAAUUAGCCGUGGCAGCAGAACUCCCGGCAAUUAGGCCUCCGGUUUAAAGUGUGUGUUGAAGUGCGUAAGCUCUCGCAUGUGCCAAAUGGCCAAUGGAAUCGGAAUCUAUAUAUAUACAUAUAUAUAGAUAUAUGGAAAAUACCCGUUCUCACAGCAAACUGCACGCACCACCUGCCAGCAGAACGGUCAGUCAGGGGCCUAAUUGUAAUUGUUAACGAUUAGCCAACACAAAUCACGAACAAGCUGCAAACGCCACUUUCUGGGCAUCUGUAACGUCUUCGUGCCUCUGAUUCAGCUGACUCCGAUACUGAUACUGAUUCUGGCUCAGACCCAUUUCAGGCGCCUUGUGUGAACCGAGUUUUAGGCAUUAUUAAGAGUAAUAUGUUUAAUGCUGACGGAAGCAAUACGAGUAGAUGGCCCGAGCACGGGGCACCAAAACAGACAGCUGGGAGUGCACUUGUCGAAAAAAUUUUAGAUACUACAUACACGUAUUUUAAUUUACUAAAGAGAAUUGACAUUAAAAAUGGGGAACAUCAUGGAUAGUCUGGUAUAAUCAAAUCUCAAGUGUAGCUUAAAUUUUCCUUUUAGAUAAUAAACCAGUUGAGUGCAUCAUUUGUUUUGCUAUAAGGAACAGAUUCUUAUAUGUUUUUCUCUGUGCACAGAACCCAGCCGUGUUUAUCAACCUCGCCAAAGUCAUCAACAGACUCGAUCUCAGUUUCUGACUGGGACCCAGUAGUCUUGGCCGGUGUCUUCAUGUCUGAAUGACAGACACACUCUUAACUCUUAACUCCUAACUCCCAACUCCAAACUCUCGGCUCUGGUAUGUUGUCUCUGCACUGCGACUGCCGGCGCUUGCGUGUUUGGCUACUGAAUUUUUAAGCAUUUGCCAGCACGCCGUGAAGUGAAGUUGAUGGUGAGAGGGCUGGGGCUCUUAGGCUUCAUUUACAUUGGCAACGUUUUAAUUAGCCGCUUAUAAAGACACACAGCGUCGGGCUACAAGAUCCAUUUAGAUGAAUGGCGGGAACACCCACCGCCAGUGAGUGGUACGUCACUGCAAAGCCGACUAAUCAGCCGGCUUAAAUCGCAACGAUUAUAUAUGGGCCAAUUAUAGCGAAUCUUUUAUUGUCGAUAAAUUCGCAGGUUCAUUAAACCCACAGAGCCCAUAAACUGACUCACAUGUGGGGUUCGGGCACUUUAAGCUAAGCCUUUGUCUCCAUCACCAUCUCUACCAUCUCCAACUGCGUCUCCGGCGUUUGGUUUUUUGUCAUUCGGGGUGCUUGGCAUGUGGACACCACAUCGGAUCUCCAUCGAAUGCAUUCGGAAUGAAGCUGUAGACUUACGCAACCGCAACGCUAUGUCAACCAUCCCGAUUCGGCGGUGCACUUGGCAUUUCUGAGAGUUUAGGCCCCCUGGAUAUCGGGGUCAUAACUGCCAACACGUCGCCAGCUCAGCGACUUUCAUCGAAAGUCAAAUAUUUGUGGAGCACGCAGAAAGAAAAGUGUAACGAAAGGAAAAGACCUGCUAGCCAGCCAUCGAUUGUCAGCCGCAAAAUUCAAUAUUUGCUCAUCCGUUCCAAAACGUUUAGCGAAUUCUUGCGCGGGAUUUGUGAAAGUCCCCGGGGGCAGGGAGCAGGUUAAAAUGGGCGUUGCGAUUUCCAGUGGAGCUUGGCCUCCACCGACAACGAAUGGGGGCGAUUGGCUGGCGAAUUGGAUUGCCAGUUGGCUGUCCAAGAUCCAUUGAGUCUGGGUCUAUUGAGUCAUAACCAGGGGCUCAAGUGGUUCGGGGAAAGAGCUCUUCAAGCUGUCCAGCGAAGAAAGAAAGAGUGACUGAGUGAGUACAUAGGAGAGUAAGCAGAAGUCCAGGGGAUUCCCCAUGUUCUAAUUGCUGCAAUCUGUUUUACUAGCUUAUUUGACAACCGUUUAAAUAAGCUAAUAAAUAACUAAAUAAUCCGUACAUUUUUGAAGAACCUCUUUUUCAAAUAAAUAUAACUGUUGCUUUUUCAAUUUUUUAAAAUAUUCCUUUUUAUACGCUUAUAUUAGCCUAUAAUUAGUUUGAAACCAGUAAACCAAAGUGGAACAAAAAUUAGCAAGAAAUACAAUAGUUUUUAAAGUUUCCGAAAUAUGUCAAGGCAAUGGCAGCUGAAUAAAACAAAAAUUGCUAACUAUUAUUUUGCGUGCUUGCGAUCUGUGAUCAUCAAUUACUUUCGACCUUCGGCUGUCAUCAAAGAUCAAUUGUCUUUGAAGAUGCGUAUCUUGACAUGGCUGACAUGACAUGUAAAUCCUUAGCCAUAUAGAGCUUGACCAGGUCUUCCGAAGGCAUCAUCACCUCCCACACCGAAUUAAGAUUUCACCGAUACAUGUCUUUCCGACCUGGUGAUUUAUACUGGCCAUAUAGCCGACCAGCGAAACUUUCCAAGUGGCCAACAAUCAGAGCAAGCGAAUAAUAGACAUAUGUGUGUAUUGAUCGUAAAUGAUUGCUUUAUAGCCUUUUUCAGUGGCUGGAGGAUUUUAAAACGUCCCAUCAAAUGGCACAAAAAUUCUUUGGCUUUUCCAUUAAUGAGCGAGAAGUAAGUUUUAGAUAAUUGAAAACCAGUUGCGCAGUUAAAAGGAAAAGCAGACGAAAUCCCAACCGAACGGCAAACAUAAUAUACCCUGAUCUUUGUAUUGUAAUUGCGUUAAAUGCAUUAAUUAGCCGGCCAGCGAACGAGAAAGAAAUCAUUGGAAACAACGUUAAUUACCCGGCGGCUUAUAUAGUUUUGGCUGCUCGCCGACGGCAGCAAAAGCGAACUAUUAUUUCAAUUGGAAUUUAAUUUCGAGAGUGGGCAUUGUUUGUAUUUGCCAUCUCUAAAGGUGGCCUAAAUGCGAAUUGCCAGGGCUUGCAAAAAAGUUCGCCCCACGGCCGAUCCCAUCCGUCGACCUUGAGAGCCAAACGAGCCAUUAAUGGCAUCCCAAGUCACAUUUGGUCUGGCCUGACCCUUUUCACGGUGUCAUUAAACCCGGUUUCUGCAGAAUCCAUCUAGUUAGCGGUCGGCCCGGAAUCCUCCACGCACAUCGCAUCUUAUCGUCCGUCCAAAAGAUCAACCAAUGCCACCAUCAGCGACACUUAAGCUGUUAUCAAUGUAUCUAUUUUCAUUGCUUUUAAACUGCUGAAAUGGCCAUUAUUGUCUCCCCUCAGCCAAC